rnacentral:lncRNA from 1 species
UUGGAGUUGGGAAGGUAAAGUUGACAUUGGACUUGGAUGAAAUUAGCUUAAGUGCUGAAUUUUUGGAAUAUUGAUGGAUUUUUUGGUGUUUUGGGUGUUUAAAUUCUUAGAGAGGCUUGUUGCUGGUUCUGGUUGAGCUUGGCAGGGAUUCCGACGACUCCUCGCUGCCGUGGAUUUAGCGCUAGAGGAAGGUUAAUUUGAUGCUUACCGGAUUUUACGAAAUUCUUCCUAAGUCUAGUUUUUGUCAACUUGUAUUUCCACUUGGUAUAGUAUGUUUAGUAGCUCGAUUUGUGGAUUUAUGUUGUCCCUAAAUCUGAAUUGGAGUUUAGAAAAUUAGUUUAAAUAUACAUGUUGAACUUGAAAUUGACUUAGGAAAAAACUAUUUAUUCUACACCGUCAUAUUCUGAAACUAUCAGAUUUAGCUCUAGGAGCCGUAGUUUGUUUGUAUUGCCGCAAUUUGUAGGCGGUGGAUACCUUGGAUAGUAUAGAAUGCUUUUACGCUCGUGCUGAGAUGCCGAGUUUAUUUUUUACAGCAGUAUUUAGGCUGUUCCGGAUUGUCGGGUGCCGUUGAGGUUGACGGUGGAUCCAGAUUGCUGUUUUUGCAUCAGAUUGUGCCGAGGGCACGUGAGUUUGGUUAUUAGACCCUGUUUACUUGACUAUAGGCUGUGAGAGCCUAAUUGAGCUCGAUAGAGAUACGCUUGCAUACUUGGUUGGGUAGCGCCCACGAGUGCCACUCCGGAGUCGGGCUUAGUGCGUUUGCGUUGGUGUCGUUGUGUCUUGGUUGGGCUUGCUCUCCACUGACAGCCUAGCGUGGAGGUAGCUGUGUAGCUUCGACAGGCGGGACGGGUGUAUUCACUGUCCUUAGUGCGAUUGGGUCAGAGUUUGCAUUAUUCUACAGAUAGUAGUGUUGGAUUAUGAUAGUAUAGUGGCAUGUAGCUAUAGAUUGUUUCCAGUUCCUUUACUAUCAUUGAGCAUACCUUCUGUAGACUUAGUGGGUGAACCGUUGAAGUCGGUAGUGGUACCCACUG